GACGAACGCUGGCGGCGUGCCUAAUACAUGCAAGUAGAACGCAGUUGCGAACUGGUGAGUAACGCGUUGGUAACUGCCUCAUAACGUGGGAUAACUAUUGGAAACGAUUGCUAAUACCGCAUACUGUGAGAUGGACCUUCGUUGUUUUAGGUAUUUGGUGAGGUAAAGGCUCACCAAGGCGCCGAUACAUAGCCGACCUGAGAGGGGGAGCGGCCGAAACGGGACUGAGACAAGGCCCAGACUCCUACGGGAGGCAGCAAUAGGGAAUCGUCGGCAAUGGGCGGAAGUCGGAACGAGCAAAGCCGGGGGAAUGAAGAAGGGUUUCGGAUCCGAAAGCUCUGUUGGUAGAGAAGCGGUAACUAACCAAAAAGGGACGGCUAACUACGUGCCAGCAGCCGCGGUAAUUC
rnacentral:rRNA from 1 species